UCUCUUGUAGCUCAGUUGGUUAGAGCGCUGCACCGGAAUCGCAGGGCCGUAGGUUCAAUUCCUACCAGAGGAC
rnacentral:tRNA from 1 species